rnacentral:rRNA from 1 species
CCUACGGGUGGCAGCAGUAGGGAAUAUUGCUCAAUGGGGGAAACCCUGAAGCAGCAACGCCGCGUGAAGGAUGAAGGUUUUAGGAUUGUAAACUCCUUUUUUUAGAGAAGAUUAUCACGGUAUCUAACGAAUAAUCAGCGACUACCUCCGUGCCAGCAGCCGCGGGACUACGGAGGGUGCAGGCGUUAAUCGGAAUUAAUGGGCGUAAAGGGUGCGUAGGCGGGGUAAUAAGUCAGCUGUUAAAACCUCGAGGUUCACUCCAGACCUGCAUUUGAAACUGUUACUCUGGAGUGCGGGAGAGGUAGGUGGAAUGCUUGGUGUAGCGGUAAAAUGCGUAGAUAUCAAGAGGAACACCAAUUGCGAAGGCGACAUGCUGGAACGUAACUGACGCUGAUGCACGAAAGCGUGGGGAGCAAACAGGAUUAGAUACCCCGGUAGUC